GAUGAACGCUGGCGGCGUGCCUAAUACAUGCAAGUCGAGCGAACGGACGAGAAGCUUGCUUCUCUGAUGUUAGCGGCGGACGGGUGAGUAACACGUGGAUAACCUACCUAUAAGACUGGGAUAACUUCGGGAAACCGGAGCUAAUACCGGAUGAUAUUUUGAACCGCAUGGUUCAAAAGUGAAAGACGGUCUUGCUGUCACUUAUAGAUGGAUCCGCGCUGCAUUAGCUAGUUGGUAAGGUAACGGCUUACCAAGGCAACGAUGCAUAGCCGACCUGAGAGGGUGAUCGGCCACACUGGAACUGAGACACGGUCCAGACUCCUACGGGAGGCAGCAGUAGGGAAUCUUCCGCAAUGGGCGAAAGCCUGACGGAGCAACGCCGCGUGAGUGAUGAAGGUCUUCGGAUCGUAAAACUCUGUUAUUAGGGAAGAACAUAUGUGUAAGUAACUGUGCACAUCUUGACGGUACCUAAUCAGAAAGCCACGGCUAACUACGUGCCAGCAGCCGCGGUAAUACGUAGGUGGCAAGCGUUAUCCGGAAUUAUUGGGCGUAAAGCGCGCGUAGGCGGUUUUUUAAGUCUGAUGUGAAAGCCCACGGCUCAACCGUGGAGGGUCAUUGGAAACUGGAAAACUUGAGUGCAGAAGAGGAAAGUGGAAUUCCAUGUGUAGCGGUGAAAUGCGCAGAGAUAUGGAGGAACACCAGUGGCGAAGGCGACUUUCUGGUCUGUAACUGACGCUGAUGUGCGAAAGCGUGGGGAUCAAACAGGAUUAGAUACCCUGGUAGUCCACGCCGUAAACGAUGAGUGCUAAGUGUUAGGGGGUUUCCGCCCCUUAGUGCUGCAGCUAACGCAUUAAGCACUCCGCCUGGGGAGUACGACCGCAAGGUAGAAACUCAAAGGAAUUGACGGGGACCCGCACAAGCGGUGGAGCAUGUGGUUUAAUUCGAAGCAACGCGAAGAACCUUACCAAAUCUUGACAUCCUUUGACAACUCUAGAGAUAGAGCCUUCCCCUUCGGGGGACAAAGUGACAGGUGGUGCAUGGUUGUCGUCAGCUCGUGUCGUGAGAUGUUGGGUUAAGUCCCGCAACGAGCGCAACCCUUAAGCUUAGUUGCCAUCAUUAAGUUGGGCACUCUAAGUUGACUGCCGGUGACAAACCGGAGGAAGGUGGGGAUGACGUCAAAUCAUCAUGCCCCUUAUGAUUUGGGCUACACACGUGCUACAAUGGACAAUACAAAGGGCAGCGAAACCGCGAGGUCAAGCAAAUCCCAUAAAGUUGUUCUCAGUUCGGAUUGUAGUCUGCAACUCGACUACAUGAAGCUGGAAUCGCUAGUAAUCGUAGAUCAGCAUGCUACGGUGAAUACGUUCCCGGGUCU
rnacentral:rRNA from 1 species